rnacentral:rRNA from 1 species
AAACACUCAGAGAUGGGUGCCCCCUUGUGGUCGGUGUACAGGUGGUGCAUGGCUGUCGUCAGCUCGUGUCGUGAGAUGUUGGGUUAAGUCCCGCAACGAGCGCAACCCUUGUCCUGUGUUGCCAGCAACUCUUCGGAGGUUGGGGACUCACGGGAAACUGCCGGGGUCAACUCGGAGGAAGGUGGGGACGACGUCAAGUCAUCAUGCCCCUUAUGUCUUGGGCUGCACACGUGCUACAAUGGCCGGUACAAUGAGCUGCGAUACCGUGAGGUGGAGCGAAUCUCAAAAAGCCGGUCUCAGUUCGGAUUGGGGUCUGCAACUCGACCCCAUGAAGUCGGAGUCGCUAGUAAUCGCAGAUCAGCAUUGCUGCGGUGAAUACGUUCCCGGGCCUUGUACACACCGCCCGUCACGUCACGAAAGUCGGUAACACCCGAAGCCGGUGGCCCAACCCCUUGUGGGAGGGAGCCGUCGAAGGUGGGACUGGCGA